GGUUCAAGGGGAACUACCCAGCAGAGGAGGUUGCUGCCACAGAGGAGGAGGCGGUGGAGGAGAGCACAGUCC
rnacentral:SRP_RNA from 1 species